GACGAACGCUGGCGGCGUGCUUAACACAUGUAAGUCGAACGGAAAGGCUCUGCUUUUGUGGGGUGCUCGCGUGGCGAACGGGUGCGUACCCCGUGAGUCACCUGCCCUUGCCUUUGGGAUAACUUCCGGAAACUGGGGCUAAUACCGGAUAGGAGCUUCCGCUGCAUGGUGGGGGUUGGAAAUUUUCGGCGGUUGGGGAUGGACUCGCGGGUUAUCAGCUUGUCGGUGGGGUGAUGGCUUACCAAGGCUUUGACGGGUAGCCGGCCUGAGAGGGUGACCUACCACAUGGGCACUGAGAUACUGCACAGACUCCUACGGGAGGCAGCAGUGGCAAAUAUUGCACAAUGGGCGGAAGCCUGAUGCAACAACGCCGCGUUCGGGAUGACGGCCUUCGGGUUGUAAACCUCUUUCGCCUGUCACGAAGCGUGGGUGACGGUAAUGGGUAAAGAGGCACGGGCUAACUACGUG
rnacentral:rRNA from 1 species